GAAAGAUUAGGAUGGGGAGGCUAAUUGGAAGUUCACGACUGCCUGUCUCUGUGAGCCCAAUGAGUAUUCUGCAAAAUGGCCAUGCAAACCAGAUGCUGCCCAACUUGCAGCAGAUUCCCUGUUUUCCCCCUCGGCAUCUCUCGGCGAGAGUGCAGCACAGUGUUACUUGUACCCAAGGUUGAAGAUGUCAGGGACGACAACAAGAUCAUCUCCUUGAGAGAAGCUGUUUCCAGUGGUUGGAGGAUAUUUAAAAAUCAGAGUGUUCUGCAGUGAAGCCAAGAAACACUCCACACAUCAGAGGACAAGAAAGGUUGACUGCUUCUUUCAGCAAAUUGUCAUCAAUUCAAAGUUGACUGUCAAUUGUAAAUGAUAGGAAUAAUUAUCUGCUGUAUAUUGCCUCUUUGUAUAGGUGGUUGGCAGAUGUG